AUUUGUGGUAAUACAACUGGGGUGAUCCUCUGCUAAGAGGUAGCUGUGCCUUGGCAUGGGAAAGCCCAGCUGGAACGAAUGUUGCUGUAAAAUGAAAAAAUGAGAUUCUCACAAGAACAAAGGUCCAACUGUCUGUGUGUUCAGUGUGCAUUUGUGGGACAUGCCCAACAAAAGGAGUUUCAGUGUAGUUUCCCAUUUCCCCACCUGUAUGUAAUGCAAUCCAAACAGAAGGUAUAGAUUUUACAAGUGUGCUUCAGAGAUCAGGCAUGUCCUUUCUGGACACAUGUAGCAGAAGAUGGGCUGGUGAUCACAGAGGUCACAAAGGGACAGAGACAGAAUCCUCAUUGUGACAAAGCCCACAUGAUAUGUGAUUCACACUGUAUCUUGUACGUGUAUGUGUGUGUAUAAAUUAGACACUUAAAGGAAGUAACUGCUGGGAUGGAGACAGACAUGGAACAGUGUGUUCUGGAAAGUUAAAAGCCUAGCCAGUGUACCAAGUGUGGAACUGAACACUAGGGCUUGAAGCUGGUUUCAGGAGUGCCUGUGGUAGGGAUGUCAGGAGGCAUAAGGGGACAUGUAUGAAGAGCCCAUUGCCAAUGGCAGAGUUUAGGCUGGCACCCUGGAACCAGGGAGCUUUCCUGUGAUCUUAAAGGAGCUGCAUCGUCAUAUUGUCAGCUACAUCCGGUGUCUUUGGGAGCAAUUUUGGCAGCCAGUUUGCAUAGCCUGUCUCAGUUCCUGAAUUGCCAGCAGCUGUCCAGGUGCCUAGAGACCCAGGGAGAAGGGAUUCUACAGACAUCAGAGCAGACAUGCUGUCGUUUCUCCUGCCUCAUCACAGCUGUUUUGCUUGAUCACUCCCUCAGCCCCAGUGGGAUGAACAGUGUGAGGAUGUGGUGGUGACACAUGUGCUCCCGCAGCCAAAUCAAAGGCCCAGCCAAGCCUGUGCCUCAGCCAUGAGUCUGGAGGAAAUCAGAGACCUUCAUUAAAGUUUCAGAAAAACCUAACUGGUAUGAGGACAGCAUUCAAAAAUGUAUUUGGGGGAAAACAAAUAUUGUUUUAACUCUGUUAAUAAUUUAUGUGUUGCCAGCAGAGAUCCUCCUAGCAUUAAGGGAAUUGAAAAUUAAAGGCACAAAGACACUAUAAGAAAACAUGUUGUUAAAUAAUUAAUAAUAGACCUGCUGGAAUCUGAAAAGUAUAGGUUUUAGCUUGUCUUGUCAAACCUAUGCUUUCUAAUACUGCAGUUUCUCCCAGAAUGAGAGCAUGGUCAU
rnacentral:lncRNA from 1 species